rnacentral:misc_RNA from 1 species
GAUGAAGAACGCAGCGAAACGCGAUAAGUAAUGUGAAUUGCAGAAUUUAGUGAAUCAUCGAAUCUUUGAACGCACAUUGCGCCCGCCAGUAUUCUGGCGGGCAUGCCUGUUCGAGCGUCAUUUCAACCCUCAGGCCCCCAGUGCCUGGUGUUGGGGAUCGGCCCAGCCUUCCUGUAAGGCCGCCGGCCCCGAAAUCUAGUGGCGGUCUCGCUGUAGUCCUCCUCUGCGUAGUAGCACAACCUCGCAGUUGGAACGCGGCGGUGGCCAUGCCGUUAAACACCCCACUUCUGAAAGUUGACCUCGGAUCAGGUAGGAAUACCCGCUGAACUUAAGCAUAUCAAUAAGCGGAGGA